ACGGGGGGAGCAAGCGUUGUUCGGAAUCACUGGGCGUAAAGGGCGUGUAGGUGGUUGUGUAAGUGGGAUGUGAAAUCCCCCGGCUUACCCGGGGACCUGCAUCCCAAACUGCACAGCUUGAGUAUGGGAGAGGAUGAGGGAAUUCCUGGUGUAGCGGUGAAAUGCGUAGAUAUCAGGAGGAACACCGGUGGCGAAGGCGCUCAUCUGGCCCAAUACUGACGCUGAGGCGCGAAAGCUAGGGGAGCAAACGGGA
rnacentral:rRNA from 1 species